rnacentral:rRNA from 1 species
AUACGUAGGGGGCGAGCGUUGUCCGGAAUGAUUGGGCGUAAAGGGCGCGUAGGCGGCCCGGUAAGUCUGGAGUGAAAGUCCUGUUUUUAAGAUGGGAAUUGCUUUGGAUACUGUCGGGCUUGAGUGCAGGAGAGGUAAGUGGAAUUCCCAGUGUAGCGGUGAAAUGCGUAGAGAUUGGGAGGAACACCAGUGGCGAAGGCGACUUACUGGACUGUAACUGACGCUGAGGCGCGAAAGUGUGGGGAGCAAACAGGAUUAGAUACCCUGGUAGUCCACACUGUAAACGAUGAAUGCUAGGUGUAGGGGGUAUCGACCCCUUCUGUGCCGCAGUCAACACAAUAAGCAUUCCGCCUGGGGAGUACGGCCGCAGGGUUGAAACUCAAAGGAAUUGACGGGG